CCUGCGGAGGGAUCAUUACCGAGUUUACAACUCCCAAACCCAAUGUGAACCAUACCAAACUGUUGCCUCGGCGGGGUCACGCCCCGGGUGCGUCGCAGCCCCGGAACCAGGCGCCCGCCGGAGGGACCAACCAAACUCUUUACUGUAGUCCCCUCGCGGACGUUAUUUCUUACAGCUCUGAGCAAAAAAUUCAAAAUGAAUCAAAACUUUCAACAACGGAUCUCUUGGUUCUGGCAUCGAUGAAGAACGCAGCGAAAUGCGAUAAGUAAUGUGAAUUGCAGAAUUCAGUGAAUCAUCGAAUCUUUGAACGCACAUUGCGCCCGCCAGUAUUCUGGCGGGCAUGCCUGUCCGAGCGUCAUUUCAACCCUCGAACCCCUCCGGGGGGUCGGCGUUGGGGAUCGGGAACCCCUCAGACGGGAUCCCGGCCCCGAAAUACAGUGGCGGUCUCGCCGCAGCCUCUCCUGCGCAGUAGUUUGCACAACUCGCACCGGGAGCGCGGCGCGUCCACGUCCGUAAAACACCCAACUUUCUGAAAUGUUGACCUCGGAUCAGGUAGGAAUACCCGCUGAACUUAAGCAUAUCAAUAAGC
rnacentral:rRNA from 1 species